rnacentral:tRNA from 1 species
AUUUUGAAAGCGAACUACGCACUAAGUUUCGACCUUAGAAGUGAAUUUAUAUUCUCAAAGUA